GACAGAGGAUCCAAGCGUUAUCCGGAAUCAUUGGGUUUAAAGGGUCCGUAGGCGGUCUUAUAAGUCAGUGGUGAAAUCUCCCCGCUCAACGGGGAAACGGCCAUUGAUACUGUAGGACUUGAAUUAUUAGGAAGUAACUAGAAUAUGUAGUGUAGCGGUGAAAUGCUUAGAGAUUACAUGGAAUACCAAUUGCGAAGGCAGGUUACUACUAAUGGAUUGACGCUGAUGGACGAAAGCGUGGGUAGCGAACAGG
rnacentral:rRNA from 1 species